rnacentral:rRNA from 1 species
AGUGAACGCUGGCGGUAGGCCUAACACAUGCAAGUCGAACGGCAGCACAGUAAGAGCUUGCUCUUACGGGUGGCGAGUGGCGGACGGGUGAGGAAUACAUCGGAAUCUACUUUUUCGUGGGGGAGAACGUAGGGAAACUUACGCUAAUACCGCAUACGACCUACGGGUGAAAGCAGGGGAUCUUCGGACCUUGCGCGAUUGAAUGAGCCGAUGUCGGAUUUGCUAGUUGGCGGGGUAAAGGCCCACCAAGGCGACGAUCCGUAGCCGGUCUGAGAGGAUGAUCGGCCACCCUGGAACUGAGACACGGUCAAGACUCCUACGGGAGGCAGCAGUGGGGAAUAUUGGGCAAUGGGCGCAAGCCUGAUCCAGCCAUACCGCGUGGGUGAAGAAGGCCUUCGGGUUGUAAAGACCUUUUGUUGGGAAAGAAAAGCAGCAGGUUAAUACCCCGCUGUUCUGACGGUACCCAAAGAAUAAGCACCGGCUAACUUCGUG